GCCUUAAGCUCAGGAUAUACACAAAUUCUGGCAAAACCAUGCCAGGUUCUUUAGGCCAUGAGGAGCAUGCUGCCAUACCGUUGCAGAAUGGUAUGACAAGUUGACAACUGCAACAACGAUGGAUCUAAACAGACUGUCAGGUCUAACUGGUGAUAAAGGCCAGAGAGGUGUUGCAGAGGGAUG